rnacentral:misc_RNA from 1 species
GGGCCUGCGGAUGGAUCAUUUU